rnacentral:tRNA from 1 species
CAUUAAGAAACUUAAGUGAAAGUAAUGGUCUCUUAAACCAAAUUAUGGUAAAAACACAUGCCCUUAAUGG